rnacentral:rRNA from 1 species
UACAGGGGGUGCAAACGUUGCUCGGAAUUAUUGGGCGUAAAGCGCGCGUAGGCGGCCGCUUAAGUCGGAUGUGAAAGCCCCUGGCUCAACUGGGGAAGUGCACCCGAAACUGAGUGGCUUGAGUACUAAAGAGGGUCGCGGAAUUCCCGGUGUAGAGGUGAAAUUCGUAGAUAUCGGGAGGAACACCGGUGGCGAAGGCGGCGACCUGGGUAGAUACUGACGCUGAGGCGCGAAAGCGUGGGGAGCAAACAGU